GACCUGGCCGGGUGGUCUUGCCGAAAGGUAAGCACUGCUUUUGGUCGGGUCUUUCCUUCUGGGGAACCAGCGUGCGCUUGAUUGAGUGCGUUGGGGAUCCAGGACUUUUACUUUGAAAAAAUUAGAGUGUUCAAAGCAGGCCUUUGCCCGAAUACAUUAGCAUGGCAUAAUAAAAUAGGA
rnacentral:rRNA from 1 species